AGAGACUGUUGGCUUCGCUGUUGAACAACAAAAGAUGCUCAGCACUGUUUUACUGCACCGUGUUUGUCUUUCCUGAGGGUGUGUGCAUGUCAGUGCAAGUGUUCAUCAGCGAGAGAGCUAGAGAGAGAGGGAGCUCCGUAAUGUGAUGACGAUCUCCAUCAUCUGACAUAAUCAGGAUGAUUCAUGGUCUGAUGCUGUCCACGCGCCUCUGGGUUCAGAAGAAUUCUACAU